rnacentral:rRNA from 1 species
GGUUAAGCGACUAAGCGUACACGGUGGAUGCCCUGGCAGUCAGAGGCGAUGAAGGGCGUGCUAAUCUGCGAUAAGCGCCGGUAAGGUGAUAUGAACCGUUAUAACCGGCGAUACCCGAAUGGGGAAACCCAGUGUGACUCGUCACACUAUCAUUAACUGAAUCCAUAGGUUAAUGAGGCGAACCGGGGGAACUGAAACAUCUAAGUACCCCGAGGAAAAGAAAUCAACCGAGAUUCCCCCAGUAGCGGCGAGCGAACGGGGAGGAGCCCAGAGCCUGAAUCAGCAUGUGUGUUAGUGGAAGCGUCUGGAAAGGCGCGCGAUACAGGGUGACAGCCCCGUACACAAAAGCGCAUAUGCUGUGAGCUCGAUGAGUAGGGCGGGACACGUGGUAUCCUGUCUGAAUAUGGGGGGACCAUCCUCCAAGGCUAAAUACUCCUGACUGACCGAUAGUGAACCAGUACCGUGAGGGAAAGGCGAAAAGAACCCCGGCGAGGGGAGUGAAAAAGAACCUGAAACCGUGUACGUACAAGCAGUGGGAGCCCCACCACUAAGCCAGUGGUGAACUCCACAUACGCAUCCUUUGCUGAGGAUACGGUUAACGGAGCGAAAGCGACGUUCAACCGCAAAAGAAGCAGAGGGGGCUUAGUGGUGGGGUGACUGCGUACCUUUUGUAUAAUGGGUCAGCGACUUAUAUUCUGUAGCAAGGUUAACCGAAUAGGGGAGCCGGAGGGAAACCGAGUCUUAAUUGGGCGUUAAGUUGCAGGGUAUAGACCCGAAACCCGGUGAUCUAGCCAUGGGCAGGUUGAAGGUUGGGUAACACUAACUGGAGGACCGAACCGACUAAUGUUGAAAAAUUAGCGGAUGACCUGUGGCUGGGGGUGAAAGGCCAAUCAAACCGGGAGAUAGCUGGUUCUCCCCGAAAGCUAUUUAGGUAGCGCCUCGUGAAUUCAUCUCCGGGGGUAGAGCACUGUUUCGGCUAGGGGGCCAUCCCGGCUUACCAACCCGAUGCAAACUGCGAAUACCGGAGAAUGUUAUCACGGGAGACACACGGCGGGUGCUAACGUCCGUCGUGAAGAGGGAAACAACCCAGACCGCCAGCUAAGGUCCCAAAGUCAUGGUUAAGUGGGAAACGAUGUGGGAAGGCCCAGACAGCCAGGAUGUUGGCUUAGAAGCAGCCAUCAUUUAAAGAAAGCGUAAUAGCUCACUGGUCGAGUCGGCCUGCGCGGAAGAUGUAACGGGGCUAAACCAUGCACCGAAGCUGCGGCAGCGACACUCAGGUGUUGUUGGGUAGGGGAGCGUUCUGUAAGCCUGUGAAGGUGGCCUGUGAGGGUUGCUGGAGGUAUCAGAAGUGCGAAUGCUGACAUAAGUAACGAUAAAGCGGGUGAAAAGCCCGCUCGCCGGAAGACCAAGGGUUCCUGUCCAACGUUAAUCGGGGCAGGGUGAGUCGACCCCUAAGGCGAGGCCGAAAGGCGUAGUCGAUGGGAAACGGGUUAAUAUUCCCGUACUUGGUGUUACUGCGAAGGGGGGA